rnacentral:rRNA from 1 species
CCAGACUCCUACGGGAGGCAGCAGUGAGGAAUAUUGGUCAAUGGGCGGGAGCCUGAACCAGCCAAGUCGCGUGAGGGAAGACGGUCCUAUGGAUUGUAAACCUCUUUUGUCGGGGAGCAAAGAGGCCUCGUGAGGUCAAAAGCGAGAGUACCCGAAGAAAAAGCAUCGGCUAACUCCGUGCCAGCAGCCGCGGUAAUACGUAGGUGGCAAGCGUUGUCCGGAUUUACUGGGUGUAAAGGGCGUGCAGCCGGGAGGACAAGUCAGAUGUGAAAUCCCGCGGCUCAACCGCGGAACUGCAUUUGAAACUGUUUUUCUUGAGUACCGGAGAGGUCAUCGGAAUUCCUUGUGUAGCGGUGAAAUGCGUAGAUAUAAGGAAGAACACCAGUGGCGAAGGCGGAUGACUGGACGGCAACUGACGGUGAGGCGCGAAAGCGUGGAGAGCAAACAGGAUUAGAUACCCCCGUAAA